GGUCGACUAAGGGCAAAAUUGUCAUUUGGCUUAAAGGAAAAAGUGCCUUCCAUCUAUUCAUUUUACAUGAUAUGGGUCUAGAAACAUUUUCUCUUCCGACUUCCUUCUCUUCUAUUCCAGUCGAUCGGAGGCGGGGGCGGAUCCACGUGGAGUCAAGUGGGUUCAUAUGAACCCGCUUCAUUAAAAAAUAACACUGUAUAUAUAGGGAAGGUCUGUUAAAGGGCAGAAGAGAUUGUAUGGAGUUGCAAGACAGUAAUGGUCCAGAAAAAAGGACGAGAAAGUAGCACAGAUAUCCCACAACUUUUAGAAGCAGACAAGAUGGAUAGAGAUGUCAAGGCAAGUAUAAGAGAUCUGAGUCAAGGAAGUAGCUUAAUUUAUAUAUUUUUUAUUCCCUGUUUGUUUGGUAUUUGCUAAUACUAUAUGUAUUAAUGGAAGUUUUGCAUCCAUUGAAUCCAAGUUUCACUUGGAUUGAAGCUUGGGAUGAGCUCAAUCUGCUACUAAAGACGCUGCCAAGAUUCCCAAUGGUGCUUCCAAAUAAAAUAUUUCAUAGUUAUUUGUGACUUUUAGUUUAUUUGCAGUAUUUAUAGCAUUGCGUUUAUGUAAUUUUGUCAUCUGCUUUCCGUUACUUCUUUUACUUGGAAUUGUAGGUGUAGUCAAAAUUUGGAAUCAGUGGAUGCAAAACUCCCAUUAAAUUCUUGUAUACUGUAAUAAGCCAUUUGGUAUUAUAGUUGUUUGUCUUCUUGGGAA